rnacentral:misc_RNA from 1 species
GAUGAAGAACGUAGCGAAAUGCGAUAAGUAGUGUGAAUUGCAGAAUUCAGUGAAUCAUCGAAUCUUUGAACGCACAUUGCGCCCCAUGGUGUUCCGUGGGGCAUGCCUGUUCGAGCGUCAUUUACCCCCUCAAGCUCCGCUUGGUGUUGGGCGUCUGUCCCGCUUCGCGCGCGGACUCGCCCCAAAGGUAUUGGCAGCGGUCGUGCCAGCUUCUCGCGCAGCACAUUGCGCUUCUCGAGGCACCGGUGGGCCCGCGUCCAUCAAGCUCACCCCCCCAGUUUGACCUCGGAUCAGGUAGGGAUACCCGCUGAACUUAAGCAUAUCAAUAAGCGGAGGA